rnacentral:misc_RNA from 1 species
GUAGGUGAACCUGCGGAAGGAUCAUUACUGAGAGAGGGGCUUCGCGCUCCCGGGGCUUCGGCCCUAACCUCUUCACCCACUGUGUACCGUACCUUUGUCGCUUUGGCGGACCUUGGGGCCUCCCCGCUCUGGCUUUGUCGCCGGUGAGUGUCCGUCAGAGGCCUAUUCAAACCCAUUGUAUCAGUGAUGUCCGAGUCAAAACACAAUAAUAAAAACUUUCAACAACGGAUCUCUUGGUUCCA